UGGGGAAUAUUGGACAAUGGGGGCAACCCUGAUCCAGCAAUGCCGCGUGUGUGAAGAAGGUCUUCGGAUUGUAAAGCACUUUCGACGGGGACGAUGAUGACGGUACCCGUAGAAGAAGCCCCGGCUAACUUCGUGCCAGCAGCCGCGGUAAUACGAAGGGGGCUAGCGUUGCUCGGAAUGACUGGGCGUAAAGGGCGUGUAGGCGGUUUACACAGUCAGAUGUGAAAUCCCCGGGCUUAACCUGGGAGCUGCAUUUGAUACGUGUAGACUAGAGUGUGAGAGAGGGUUGUGGAAUUCCCAGUGUAGAGGUGAAAUUCGUAGAUAUUGGGAAGAACACCGGUGGCGAAGGCGGCAACCUGGCUCAUGACUGACGCUGAGGCGCGAAAGCGUGGGGAGCAAACAGGAUUAGAUACCCUGGUAGUCCACGCUGUAAACGAUGUGUGCUAGAUGUUGGGU
rnacentral:rRNA from 1 species